AGGUCGUGUAGUGGGUCUAUGGGACCGGCCAUCAGUAUGGAUGCAGGUACUGUGCACUGGUGACGGGACAGUAGCGGACGGAGCUGGGUGUGCGGAACAAGUUCGGUAAAUCAUUAUUGGGAUGCUGUUUUAGAUUCUAUUUCUCGAACUCCGUGUUUCAGAACUUGUGGUUAUUUAGCAUCGUGUCAAAUUUAGUUGAAUUCUCUUUCAUUGAAAUUCAUACCUCGUGUGAUCCUUAUCCAAGUAUUGGAUGAGUGAAAUAGAUUUCAGCAA